CAGCCUUCGGCUGGAGCUGGCAGAGGCAAGGAGUCGAAGACCCAUGAGCAGGAGGCGUUUGCAGGUGGAGAGGCAGCUGUGUGUGCUGAGUGCGCGAUGAGACAGAGAGACAGAACAUGUGAGGAAGGAGGGAAAGAAGGGGAUGCAGAAGGUCAAGAGCCCCUCAGGUGGAUGGACCCAGCUCCCAACAGCCCCUCCAGGCCCAGGGUCUCAGCCGUCAUGGGGUCGGGGCCAGCACAGUGCAGCAGGGAGACGCUGCUUCCCUCUGCCCGACAACAGAGGAGAACUGAGGCGCAGAGCAGUUAAGCAGGUUUCCCAGAAGCCCUUCGCUCCUCCAUUGUCCCUGAGUACAUGGAGGGGUAGAGGGUUUGGAUCUCAGGUUCUUAGUAGGGAAACCAGCCCUGGGGUUGGUGAGUCUGCUCUGUGUGCUCUGUGUGGAAUGCCAGGAGGCCCAGGGAACCUGUGCUGAGGACAAAGUAGAGCCCCAUCCCUGUCCACCCCACCUGUGGUGCACCUGCUGAAUCAGGCGCUGCCAGCACCUGGCCGGGAGCAGGAUGUUCGUGUGGGGAAGUGCUGAACAAC